rnacentral:rRNA from 1 species
UACGGGGGGUGCGAGCGUUGUCCGGAAUCACUGGGCGUAAAGGGCGCGUAGGUGGUUUGAUAAGGCUGUGGUGAAAGCCCGGGGCUCAACCCCGGGUCUGCCGUGGCGACUGUCAGACUUGAGGGCUCGAGAGGCAGACGGAAUUCCGGGUGUAGCGGUGGAAUGCGUAGAUAUCAGGAGGAACACCGGUGGCGAAGGCGGCUUUCUGGACAGAUACCGACGCUGAGGCACGAAAGCUAGGGGAGCAAACAGG